rnacentral:rRNA from 1 species
UUUCCGUAGGUGAACCUGCGGAAGGAUCAUUAUUGAAUUAUGUWUUUAAAUGGGUUGUUAGGCUGGCUCUUUUAGAGCAUGGUGCACGCCCUGUUUGGACUUUCAUUUUCAUCCCACCUGUGCCCCCUAUUGUUAGUCUUUGGUUGAGUUAGGAGGGAAGUNGGUCAUCCUAUCAGCAUCUGCUGGAUGUGGUGGACUUGCAUUGUGAAAACUUUGCUGUCUGCUUUGUGACCAUGAAAUCACUUUCUUGCCAGAGUCUAUGUCUUACAUUAUACUCUGUCGAAUGUCAUUGAAUGUCUUUACAUGGGCUUGUAUGCCUAUGAAAAUUGUAAUACAACUUUCAGCAACGGAUCUCUUGGCUCUCGCAUCGAUGAAGAACGCAGCGAAAUGCGAUAAGUAAUGUGAAUUGCAGAAUUCAGUGAAUCAUCGAAUCUUUGAACGCAUCUUGCGCUCCUUGGUAUUCCGAGGAGCAUGCCUGUUUGAGUGUCAUUAAAUUCUCAACUCUCUUAUACUGUUUUGUAAAGGAGAGCUUGGAUUGUGGAGGCUUGCUGGCCACUUGUAUGGGGUCAGCUCCUCUGAAAUGCAUUAGCGGAACCGUUUGCGAUCUGCCACAAGUGUGAUAACUUAUCUACACUAGCGAGGGGAUUGCUCUCAGUAAUGUUCAGCUUCUAAUUGUCUCUGUUUUGUGAGACUAACUUUUUGAAUGCUUGACCUCAAAUCAGGUAGGACUACCCGCUGAACUUAA